CCCUAUGGGGUGCAGCAGGCGGGCGGAGAUCUGCCGAAAGGUGGAGGCGUGGGGGAAGGACCCGUGCGUGGCAAGCCGCGACAUCCGGGACGCGGCGGGGGAGCUGACGCGGGAGUCGAAACGCAACUGCGACAUGGAGAUGCUGCGGCAAUCCUGGAGGGAAACGAUGAAGGAAGCCGGCAUCACCGAUGUUCACGCGCUGUCAGGUUCAAAGAUUGACCGAAAGAGCCCGAAGGAUGUGUUCCGGGAGACGGAGCGGAGCCUGUCGGGGCGCACGGUGGCGUUCACGCGGAAGGAGUACCUGGACGAGGCGCUGAAGCGGGGUAUGGGUCACGGGCUGACACUGACGGAAAUCACCCGGUGCUUCGAAGCACAGGUGAAGGGGAAGCAUUUUUCCCGGAUGGGAGAGCUUAGCGGGAAGGAAUACUACGCGACGAGGGAGAGC
rnacentral:rRNA from 1 species